rnacentral:rRNA from 1 species
GUCCACGCGGUAAACGAUGAGUACUAGGUGUCGCGGGUAUUGACCCCUGCGGUGCCGCAGCUAACGCAUUAAGUACUCCGCCUGGGAAGUACGGCCGCAAGGCUAAAACUCAAAGGAAUUGACGGGGCCCGCACAAGCGGUGGAGCAUGUGGUUUAAUUCGACGCAACGCGCAGAACCUUACCUGGGCUUGACAUCCGCGGAACCUCUGUGAAAGCAGGGGGUGCCUUCGGGAGCCGCGAGACAGGUGCUGCAUGGCUGUCGU